AUAUUCCUGAGCAACAUGUCCUGACUGAGGGACUAGCAUUAAAAGCGGGACUGGAAACAGAGCUUUUCCAGUUUUUUACGCUUUGGUUCACCGAGAAAUGAAUAUCGAACUGGAAAUCGAAAUAUUCAAAUAGAAGACGCAGAAUGCAUUUCAAAAUUAAUAGAAAGUGGAUCUGGACGCAGAGCUGUUGAGAUAAUCAAACAUUGCUCCGAACACAAUCGAAUUUACAAACAAGAUUAUUUGAUAUUUGCGCUCGCAAUUUGCUGCAGGUCUUCUAAUCGCGAGACGAAAAGAGUGGGUUAUGAUUUGAUGCCACUGGUGUGUAGAAUACCGACUCAUCUGUUUAAAUUCAUUGAGUACUGCAAAAGUAUUAGUACACAACUUUAUAACUCAUCUGGAUGGGGAAGAGGGCACUGUUAAGCAAUAUGUAACUGGUAUCUGAGUUAUGGAGCAAAAGAAGAAAACCUCUUACUUUUGGCAUAUCAUCUGACAAAAUAUUCCAAACGGAGAGGAUGGAAGCACCGAGACGUUAUACGCCUCGCUCAUCUUAAGGUGAAAGAAGACAACUUCGCUUUGAAAUAUCUUGUCAUGAUUGCUGUGAAGGGAAAAAAACGUGCCGAUGAGUGUUAUUUCACGAAAGCUGAAAAAGAGGCUAAGGGUUAUCAGUUAUCGGUAUUAAAAAAGAUUAAAUCUUUUGUCGACCACGUUGAGAAAGCAUGGAAAGCAGAAAAUGUUGAAGAAGUAAAAAUGUUGAUUUUAAAAUAUAAAUUAGUCAGAGAACAAAUUCCGAACCGUUUUCUGAAACACAAAGAAAUUUGGAAAGCUCUGAUGAAACAUAUGCCUAUGACUGCCAUGAUUAGAAACCUUGGGAAGAUGUCAAACUUAGAAAUUUUCCAAUCAAAUUCUUUUGAAGAAAUUUUAGUUUGCGACAAGUUAAAAACAUUCAACUCAUUACCAGAGGACGGAUUCAUCCUAUUACGUAUUUGGUAGCUUCCAAUCAAUAUAAAAAAGGGAGUAAUAGAGAAGGGACGUUAACGUGGCCUGUGUCUCAGGAAAUAUGCAAUGCUCUAGAAGAAGGCUUCACAUUGUCUUUCUCAAAUGUCACACCAACAGAGAAACACUUGCUCCUAGCUGUUGAAGUGACAGAAUCUAUGUCGAAGGAAAUAUAUGUGAAGGGUAUGUCUUCACUAUCUGCUCUUGAUGCUGCAGCUUUUAUGGUGAUGUUAAUGGCUAAAACCGAACAUCAUUAUCGUGUAAUUGUAUUCUCGAGCAAAAAAGUCGUUGAUUUACCCGUGGAUCCCUCUGAUCAAAGUGAGGACAUUGUACGUAAAAUAAGAGAACUUGUACGGCCUUGCGACUCAUCGACAUCAGAUGCAUUUCUACCAUUUAAAUACGCCCUUGAAAACAACAUACACAUUGAUGCUUUUGUGAUGUUCACAGACUCUCAAACAUCAUUUGUACAUCCUGCACAGGCUUUUAAAACUUAUCGCCAAAAAGUUGAAAAAGCUCAUCUAAAUGAUGAUUCUCGAUUUAUAGUUUGCAAUAUGGUGUCUGAAGACUCAGAUGUUGGAGAUUUCAUGGAUCCUCACACAAUGACUAUAUCUGGAUUUGACUGGCAUGUACCACAUAUUGUAAAUGACUUCGUACGAUCCUUAUAGGGUGGACUUAUCAAGAAACAGAGCACUCAGAGAUUUUUUUUCAGCAUUCAUAUGAAUAUUAUGCCCGAGUGAUAUUCCUACAUGAAAUGUGAGGAUAAGGAACAAUGAUCAUUCUCAAAUCAAAAGUCUAUUCAAGCAAUACAAAAAAGCAACUCGGGCCUCUGAAAACAGAGAUUGGCAUCAGGUGUCAUGUCGUCGAUUUCCCUGUCGACGGGUCACACCCUCCAUGUGCUUUAUGUCAUGAUCGGGUAAACGGGAAAUUCCGUAGACAAUUCAGUGUGAAAAUAAUUACCAAACAAUUUGUAUGAAAGACAUGUAUUAACAUUCGACUUAACGACAGAUUGUUUUGGCAAACGAGAUCAUGUAUCGACCAUAGAAUUUGCACAAUACAUGUAUUGACUUUAAACCAGAUUGUUGAUAUCCUUGUAUCAUCAACUUAUUUAUCAAUAGCCUGCUGUUUUAGAAAUUGUUCAUACUUAGAAAUGCUCUUGCAUAGCGAAUCAACUGGGAGACAUAAACUCUAAAUGCAAGUGAUAAAGGUAUAUUGCUGCAUAAAUAAGGAAAGUUGAAGAUAUAAAAAGAUGAAGUCAUCACAUUUAUCAUAAAGUUUGGUUGUCAGUUUGCCACCAAUGUAUUUCUUUAAUAAAAUAUCCAAAUAUGAAA